rnacentral:rRNA from 1 species
AUUGAACGCUGGCGGCAUGCCUUACACAUGCAAGUCGAACGGUAACGCGGGGCAACCUGGCGACGAGUGGCGAACGGGUGAGUAAUGUAUCGGAACGUGCCCAAUAGUGGGGGAUAGCCCGGCGAAAGCCGGAUUAAUACCGCAUGAGACCUGAGGGUGAAAGCGGGGGAUCGCAAGACCUCGCGCUGUUGGAGCGGCCGAUAUCAGAUUAGGUAGUUGGUGGGGUAGAGGCCUACCAAGCCUGCGAUCUGUAGCUGGUCUGAGAGGAUGACCAGCCACGCUGGGACUGAGACACGGCCCAGACUCCUACGGGAGGCAGCAGUGGGGAAUUUUGGACAAUGGGCGCAAGCCUGAUCCAGCCAUGCCGCGUGCGGGAAGAAGGCCUUCGGGUUGUAAACCGCUUUUGUCAGGGAAGAAAUCUUCUGGGUUAAUACCUCGGGAGGAUGACGGUACCUGAAGAAUAAGCACCGGCUAACUACGUGCCAGCCGCCGCAGUAA